rnacentral:rRNA from 1 species
GACGAACGCUGGCGGCGUGCUUAACACAUGCAAGUCGAACGGGAGUAUCAAAGAAGCUUGCUUUUAAGAUACUUUAGUGGCGGACGGGUGAGUAACGCGUGAGGAGCUGUCCUAUGCAGGGGGACAACAGUUGGAAACGGCUGCUAAUACCCCAUAAGCCGAGAGGUAAAAGGAUUUAUCCGGCAAAGGAGGCACUCGCGUCAAAUCAGCUAGUAGGUUGGGUAAGGGCCGACCGAGGCGAAGACGGGUAGCCGGCCUGAGAGGGCGAACGGACACACUGUAAGUGAGAGACGGUCCAUACUCCUACGGGAGGCAGCAGUGGGGAAUAUUGGGCAAUGGGGGGAGCCCUGACCCAGCGACGCCGCGUGGGUGAAGAAAUCCUUCGGGAUGUAAAGCCCUGUUGUAUGGGAAGAGUAGAAGACGGUACCAUACGAGGAAGCCCCGGCAAACUACGUGCCAGCCGCCGCCGUAAAAC